UCCACCCGAAGAAAGCAGUUUUUUAGACUAGUAAGCGUGCACGUGCAACGCACGUUUUAUAAUCCACAAUAGAAACAUCUUUGAAUUUUGUUAGUUAUUCUUUUAGCGAGUUUUUUUCUAACCGUGCCACUUAAAUAUGUCCCAUGCGCAAUGAUGUGAGCGAGUGUAACACAUAUCUUCACAUAAAAUUCAUGACCACAUAAACAUAUUAUAAUUAGUUAUAAAAAUACUUAAGAAACAAGUAAGCAACAUCCUCACAAUUAAUUCUUUGAUGGUUCUCUCUUAAAGGUCAAUCUAUUUAUGACAUUUAUAAUGCUUCAUUCUUUGUUCCAUAUCUGGGACAUUGUUUAGAGAUUCAUUUCCUGCAUACAUCAAAAUAUGUAUCAAAAAAUCGUCUUCUCUGUACACUGUCUUCGUACAUAUGCAUUAUAUACAACAAUGUUAUAAAAAAUUCAUGUGCAACAUGUAUACAUAGUUACUUUUCAAAUAGCAAUAUACCAUAAUAAUUAUGAAGAUACAUACCGAAUAUACCUGUUUAGAAGUGUUGGAUGAAAAAUCCCCCGUAAAGUACUCCAUGAAUUUAACAUCCACAGACCAUAGGAUGAGCAUGAUUUACAGAAUUUGAAUAUAUUAUAAAUAAAAAUAAUUAUCAAUUUAUAUAAAUAGUUUUAUAAAAAUAAUUGAAAACAUUAAAUUAUCAUGACUGAACCUUUAUUUUUAACCCUUGCCCUAUCUACAAGAAGAAUCGCACGACUCCAGCUAAAUAGGACACGCUCUAAUAAUCCUUAAAAAAUGACACGCUGGAAUAAAAAAAUGGAAGGCCCAGACCCCACACUCACUCACGGUCUCAAACCCAUCACCUACCUCCCCACCGCCCAUCGAGUUGCUGCCCCUGUCUCUCAGUCGUUCCCCAUUCCGUAAUCUUCAGCUCCCUCUCACGACCUCACCCUCCCCUUCGUCCCUACCUCUAGCGCGAGGACUCACACGCCCUGCUCUUCCCCGCCCCUUCCAGUUGAACCCGGUCGCCGAAGUGCACGAGGAGGCGCUCGAGCUAGUCGUGCUCGCGGGCGAGCCGGCCUUAGGCGACGUCGGAGGCGGAUGCGGAGGCGUGGGACUCACCGGCGGCGACGCCCUGCCCUGCCUGGCCUCACCCGCGGUGAGACACGCCGUCCCGCGUCACCCGCGCCCAGCUCGAGUACGAAGGCGUGGAGCAAGAUGGCGGGGCCGCCGUGGCCGUGGCGGCGGGUUGUGGUGGUCGAUCUCGGCGAGGCGGCGACGACUGCGGCUCCAUGGCGAGCGCGAGGAGGGAGCGGCGGAGGUUGGUGCGCCACGGAGGAAGUUGAAGAGCGAGGGCGUGAGGGGCUGGCCAUCCUCGCGAAGCCGGUGGAAAGGGGGCUUCGAUCCUGUCUGAUGCAAUUAUUCUUGGGGUUCUUGUAUAAGAGAUAUAUCUACGGUGCUCAGCUCAGCCUACCUUCGAUUCGUACGGCGUCGCCCAUGGAUCCUCAUGUCAGUUUAGGAAUUUCCCCCAUCAAUUUGGUUUCCUGCUUUACGGUCAUGCAAUGCCAAUUUAGGAUCAUGUGAAAAUAAAUUCAAUCUGUAUCUGGUGCGAGGCCGUCCAAGUCAGCCCGUGCCUCUGCAUUUUCUGUCCAUGUUUUUGGCUAAUUUUAGAAGUCCCCGCCAUGAAUGAAAAGAAAACAUGGACAGAAUAGUCCAUUUCCAUCUUGCUAGUUUUGCAUAAACAAGACACUACGGAGGAUUGAGAGAUGGUGAAAUUGAACAAAAUAAAUAAAUUAGGAGGUGUCUACUCAUAAUAAUACUUAGCCAUGCUAGUUUGUCAUCUUUAUUUGCAUCACUUGUUCAUCAUGUAUUAUAUCUUUAUUAAGCAACUUUUUUAUGUUUAGAACUCUUUAUGGCUGAAUCUGGUUAGGCACAUUUUCAGUUCAGUUUUGCCGUAUAGUUAUCUUCUGAUGGCUGCAUGCAGCUUUUCACCCUUCAGUAAGGAGUCCUUUAUUUGUUGUAGAUCCUUGUCGCCCAUGAGUGAUGGACGCUGUAUGGUUAUGCAGUGCUGCUGGUGUGAAGGUUAUUACCCUUUAUGGUUUAUUUUUCUUUGAUCAUAUCUUCUUUCCAUCUAUAUCUACUUCAAAUAUUCUUUCCAUGGAAUCUCAACCGAUUGGGUUUGUAAUAGGAGGUUUGGAUCAUGCAGUUUGCAGAUAUUCAAUUAUAAAAUAUUUGUGGUUCAUCAGUUCCUUUUGUGCAUGUUGUGAAGAAUGUGUCAUAUGAGCCAAGAUUCAAACGCUUCUGGAUGUGAAUUUGACAAAACGGAUCAUCUUAGGAUGAGUGUCCUGAAGAAUCGGAAGAUGCUGCAAAACAUGAUGAUGUGAUACUGCCAUGCUAUUUCUACCGGUCUCUCUGCUAGUGCCUUAUCGCUCGUUCACCAAUCUCCAUCCUCACCAUGGUCUCUGUACUCAACAAGGGUGAACUCUACAAGUUCUAGUAGGCUCCUCGGUGACUCCUCACAGGAGAGCUUUUGGCCUGAUCUGAUGGAGCUGAGAGGUCAAAGGAAGAAGUCAAACCUGAAGAAGUGCAGGGAGGAAAUUACAGCUGCGUGUGUCCGGCUGGUUCAGGGGAUGUGCAGGGCGGCCGUAGCCAUGCGGGUGUCGAGGCAGGCGAUCUCGCGGAUGGAUGCCAUGCUGCGAGGGUAGGUUCCUGGGCGCCCGCUACGUUGAUGACGGAUUCCACGCUGCGAGCGGCAACAAUCGGCGACAAUCGGCGAUGGCGAUCGUGCAGGGAGGCGACGGUGUUGGUGGGCGGCAUCUGGUGCGGUGGUGACUCAAGGCAGACAAACGUCGAGGUCAAGGGCGAGGGAGCAGAUUUGAUUGAGUUUCCUUAGUUUGCGAUUUGAUUGCGUGAUUGUAGGGAAACACGGGAGGGAGCAGAUUUGGUUGUGUUUCCUUAGUUUGCGAUCUGAUUGCGUGAUUGCAGGGAAACAUGGGAUUGGUUGUUGGAAUACUCCUCUGGUGGUGGAGUACGGUCAGUCAUUAGAAAUUGCUAAGUACACACCAUCCCGCUAUUAGAUAAAUGAUGGCCGUUAGAUUGAAA